UCCCCGUUGCCGAGGCAGUCUGAAUAGAAAAAUCCAACUAUUCAAAAGGGUUGCGCUCGUUGCGGGACUUAACCCAACAUCUCACGACACGAGCUGACGACGGCCAUGCAGCACCUGUCACCGCGUUCCCGAGGGCACAGUUUCCUUUCGGAAGCCUUCGCGGGAUGUCAAACCCUGGUAAGGUUCUUCGCUUAUCGUCGAAUUAAACAACACGCUCCACCGCUUGUGCGGGUCCCCGUCAAUUCCUUUGAGUUUUAAGCUUGCGCUCGUACUACUCAGGCGGGAUGCUUAACGCGUUAGCUUCGCUACAGAGGGGGUCGAUACCCCCCACAGCUAGCAUCCAUCGUUUACGGCGUGGACUAC
rnacentral:misc_RNA from 1 species